UACGGGGGGGGCAAGCGUUGUUCGGAAUUACUGGGCGUAAAGGGUUCGUAGGUGGCCAACUAAGUCAGACGUGAAAUCCCUCAGCUUAACUGGGGAACUGCGUCUGAUACUGGUUGGCUUGAGUGCAGGAGAGGAAUGCGGAAUUCCAGGUGUAGCGGUGAAAUGCGUAGAUAUCUGGAGGAACACCGGUGGCGAAGGCGGCAUUCUGGACUGUAACUGACACUGAGGAACGAAAGCCAGGGGAGCAAACGGG
rnacentral:rRNA from 1 species